CUGAUAAUUUAUUAAAGGGCUGCAGUAUUUUGACUGUACAAAGGUAGCAUAAUCAAUAGUCUCUUAAUUGGUGACUUGUAUGAAAGAUUGGAUGAAAUAUAUACUGUCUCUAAUUUAUAUAAAGAAUUUAAUUUUUUAAUUAAAAAGUUAAAAUAAAUUUAAAAGACGAGAAGACCCUAUAGAGUUUUAUAUUUAAAUUUAUUGAAAUUAUAUUUAUUUUUAAUAAUUAAAAUAAUUUAAAAUAUUUUAUUGGGGUGAUAAAAAAAUUAAAUUAACUUUUUUUAAUUUAAAUUUCAUUAAUAGGUGAGUAAAUGAUCCAAAAAUUUUGAUUAUAAGAAAAAAUUACCUUAGGGAUAACAGCGUAAUUUUUUUUAUUAGUUCAUAUAAUAAGAAGAGUUUGCGACCUCGAUGUUGGAUUAAGAUAAAAUUUAUAUGCAAAAGUAUAAAAUUUUGAUCUGUUCGAUC
rnacentral:rRNA from 1 species